rnacentral:rRNA from 1 species
GCGGUAAUACCAGCUCUCCGAGUGGUGGGGACGAUUAUUGGGCUUAAAGCGUUCGUAGCCGGCUUAACAAGUCUUCCGUUAAAUCCAACGAUCUAAUCGUUGGUCUGCGGGAGAUACUGUUGGGCUAGGAGGCGGGAGAAGCCGACGGUAUUCUCGGGGUAGGGGUGAAAUCCUGUAAUCCCGG